AGUGAACGCUGGCGGUAGGCCUAACACAUGCAAGUCGAACGCAGCACAGUAAGAGCUUGCUCUUACGGGUGGCGAGUGGCGGACGGGUGAGGAAUACAUCGGAAUCUACUUUUUCGUGGGGGAUAACGUAGGGAAACUUACGCUAAUACCGCAUACGACCUACGGGUGAAAGCAGGGGAUCUUCGGACCUUGCGCGAUUGAAUGAGCCGAUGUCGGAUCAGCUAGUUGGCGGGGUAAAGGCCCACCAAGGCGACGAUCCGUAGCUGGUCUGAGAGGAUGAUCAGCCACACUGGAACUGAGACACGGUCCAGACUCCUACGGGAGGCAGCAGUGGGGAAUAUUGGACAAUGGGCGCAAGCCUGAUCCAGCCAUACCGCGUGGGUGAAGAAGGCCUUCGGGUUGUAAAGCCCUUUUGUUGGGAAAGAAAAGCAGCAGGUUAAUACCCCGCUGUUCUGACGGUACCCAAAGAAUAAGCACCGGCUAACUUCGUG
rnacentral:rRNA from 1 species